CGAAUCAUUCACAAUGGGCGAAAGCCUGAUGGUGCAACGCCGCGUGGGGGAUGAAGGUCUUCGGAUUGUAAACCCCUGUCACCAAGGAUAAAACGUCGCAUGUUAAUAGCUAGCGGCCUGAUGUAACUUGGAGAGGAAGGAGUGGCUAACUCGGUGCCAGCAGCCGCGGUAAUACAGAGACUCCAAGCGUUAUUCGGAUUCACUGGGCGUAAAGGGUGCGCAGGCGGUCUGGUGUGUCGAGGGUGAAAUCCUGCAGCUUAACUGUAGAAUGGCCUUCGAAACUACCAGACUAGAGUAUCGGAGAGGGAAGCGGAAUUCCAGGUGUAGCAGUGAAAUGCGUAGAUAUCUGGAGGAACACCGAAGGCGAAGGCAGCUUCCUGGACGAUUACUGACGCUCAGGCACGAAAGCAUGGGGAGCG
rnacentral:rRNA from 1 species